GGAAUGUGGCUCAAGUGGUAGCUCGCUCGCCUAGCAUGCGUGAGGCACUGGGUUCGAGCCUCAGCACCA
rnacentral:tRNA from 1 species